GAUGAACGCUGGCGGCGUGCCUAAUACAUGCAAGUCGAGCGAAUGGAUUGAGAGCUUGCUCUUAUGAAGUUAGCGGCCGACGGGUGAGUAACACGUGGGUAACCUGCCCAUAAGGCUGGGAUAACUCCGGGAAACCGGGGCUAAUACCGGAUAACAUUUUGAACCGCAUGGUUCGAAAUUGAAAGGCGGCUUCGGCUGUCACUUAUGGAUGGACCCGCGUCGCAUUAGCUAGUUGGUGAGGUAACGGCUCACCAAGGCAAAGAUGCGGAGCCGACCUGAGGGGGUGAUCGGCCACACUGGGACUGGGACACGGCCCAGACUCCUACGGGAGGCAGCAGUAGGGAAUCUUCCGCAAUGGACGAAAGUCUGACGGGGCAACGCCGCGUGAGUGAUGAAGGCUUUCGGGUCGUAAAACUCUGUUGUUAGGGAAGAACAAGUGCUAGUUGAAUAAGCUGGCACCUUGACGGUACCUAACCAGAAAGCCACGACUAACUACGUGCCAGCCGCCGCGGUAA
rnacentral:rRNA from 1 species